rnacentral:lncRNA from 1 species
CAUUUCUUGGGCCACUCCCAUGGCAUAUGGAGGUUCCCAGGCUAGGGGUCGAAUCAGAGCUGUUGCCACUGGCCUACACCAGAGCCACAGUGACGCAGGACCCGAGCUGCAUCUGCAAUCUACACCACAGCUCACAGCAACACCGGAUCCUUAACCCACUGAGCAAGGCCAGGGAUUGAACCCACAACUUCAUGGUUCCCAGUCGGAUUCGUUAACCACUGAGCCAUGACGGGAACUCCAUAAUGUAAUUUCUUUUUAAUGAAUAAACUGAUGAUCAACCAAUCCUAGAACAGAGAAAGAACAACUGAAGGUAACAUAGCUGCAGAAAGUCUGGUGAUAGAAAGCAAAUUAAUAAGUUAUAAUAAUAACGGAAAUAAUAAUAAUAGCUACAGUUACUGAGCACUUACUAAAUUCCAUUAGCAAUACUGUAUACUAUAUUUAUUUUAGAGAAAGGGCAGAAUGGGAUAGGGCAGAGGGAUGAGACUGCAAAAAGCGAGAACUUAGUUGCUGAAACUGAAGAAAAGUACUCAAGCCUCUCUAUUCGUUGGAUAUUAUCAUAAUGAUAUUCUUACCUCUCCUUUACUAUUCCACUCCCAGGAAUUUAUCCUGAAAUUUUUUUUUUUUUAUGUUAGCGAUAUUACUCAGUAGAAGCAAGCAAACAAAAGCUCUAAGUACAAUGAAGUUCACUGAAAUGUUAAUUACAAUAGAAAUACUAAAAGUUGCAAUAUGUAUACAAAUUUUUACCCUUUCUUUUAGUCAUGCUCUUUGCAAUGUGACUUUGCAGCUCCAACAUCAGGAAAUGGAGUUGUACUUACUUUCUCGCCACCAGAAUCUGGGCUGACCUCAGGCUUAGCUUGGCCAAAAGAAAACCAUGAAAAUGAGUUUGUUCAGUUCCAACCUAAGCUCUUCGUUUUUCCUUUGGUACCCUGACAGCCACCAGGUAGACAGGCCCAUGGUCAGUGUGCUGGCGAGCCAAAACUUGUGGUACGGGUACCCCACUAGCUCUAGCUGAAAAAGCCAAGUCCCCAAAGCAAAGACAUCUAGGUGACUACUGACACAUGGGAGGUCCCAGCUAAGACCAGAACUAUCCAGCUCAGCUCAGCUCAAACUGCUGACCCAUAGUCCUGAGAACUAAAUAGAUGGGUUUAUUUUAAGCCACUAAUUUUCAGACUGGUUUACUGACACAAAUGUUGAACAACAAAACAAAAUACUACACAUAUGCCACAAAAUACAAGGCAUGCUUUAAAACGGCAAUGAUGACAUCUAAGUAAAAUCACGGCUAUUUUAUAAUAUUGAGUGAAAAGAGUAGAAUGCAACUAUCUGUCUAUAUGCCGUAAUUGGAAUUAUGCAAAUUUAUUCAUGCAAAUAAAAAGUGGCCAGUAAAAAGGACAUUGCUUUCUAGGGUUGAUAGGAUUAAGCAUCAUGUUGUCAUUUAUUUUUGUUUCCUUUAACAUAAUAUCAUUAUAUUUUCUGAUGAAAAUAUUUAGAACAAAGUCAGAGACACACUCAAGCUGUAAAAUAUCUUGCUGUGACAUGCAAUCAGUGAAAAGUACAAACCGAGUUUUUUGCCUCCCUUCCAAAGUGAUCACUGUUGUUGAAAAAAUGGCCCAAAAGAAAUAUUUCAAAAGUGGAAGUAAAUCUCUUUAUUAGUUAAGAAUCAAAGUAAAAUUCGCAUUAGCUUAUUUUACUUUCAUUAUCAGAGUGCUAGAAUUUAAAAUAAAAAUGGAGCUUUAAAUACUCCACGGAUCACGAAAUCCAUUUUAACAGUGAAAGAUAUUGAUAACAGCUAAACUCUCAUAUGCUAAAGGUCAGCAUUUAAAUGUUAAAGGUGACUGACCUAAGAUAAGGAAGAAACAAUUUCUGCAAUAAUUUGAAAAAUUACUACCACCAGAAUGGCUCAUUCCUUUACUAAAUGUAGAUUUGUGCAUCAUAAAAGCAUUGCCCCAGGAAAAUGAAACUGACUUAUAUGCAAAAACCAAAGAACUGCAAUGAAAUUCUGAAGGCAUGUCCUUGGAAAUUCACCCUUGACCAAUACAUCUCCUUAAUCCAGUGGGCUGCUGGAGCACAAUGCUGUUUUUCUAGCUGAGUGUGCACAUUUGCUUGGCUUCUCUCUUGCAUUAUGAAGACAAUUUACUCUGACAGCUUCCUCAGCCCCCAAAAGUUGUCAAACAUCCAACAUGCUGCAGAUUAAAUUCUAAGCAUUCAAAGCCUGUGGUCUGAAGUUGAAAGCUGGGAGGUAAGGACCCAUGUCAAAGACAGAAAUGCAGAUUUUGUGCCUUGCUCCUUUCUUACAAAAGUCAAGAGCUCAGAAAUGAAUCUGUUCUUUAUUUAGGAUUGGCUAGUGUUCAUUCCUUUCUCUACCAGCCAUAUUUCAUAUGUCCCAAAACCCUUAUAUUUUUCUAUUAUUUUGACCAGUUCAUUCAUUUCCCAAUCGAUGAACUCACUUUCACCUUUUUAGGUCUGACGACCAUUCCCCGAGUCAUUGAGUAGCUUCUCUCUCUUCUGAGAGGGCAAAUCAAUCAAUCCCCCAUUUCCAACUCUUCUCUCUCUACCAUAUCCAGGACCUCUUCCACUUGGUACGUAGCAGGAUGCUAUCUUUUUAGUGAAGCAAACUUCACUCCCAUGCCAUUGACCUAGUUUGAGUGUUGUUAAAAAAUAAACAGCCCUGUGGAACUCAUCACUCAUUGUAAAGCUAUUGCCAAGGACAUUGUUCAUUACAUCAUACAGUGUCCUAUUUACAAAGCCUUCUGAAAGAAAUCCCUGUCCCAUCUUUAUACUACAAAAAAAAAAAAAAGUUAUGUCGCUCCUAAGUGUUUGCUCUGUGUUUACUUCUUUUUGCUGGUUUGUUUACUUAUAACAAACACAGUGAAUUGUGUAGUCAAUACAGUAGAUGGUUCACUAAAGAUGAAUGUAUAGGGAUCAGACUCAACAAUUUAUCAAUGUCCAUGGCUCUUCUUUGCCUCCACUCUUGCUUUUCUAAAUUGCUUCCUUGUAUUUUUUGGUUGUUAUUUGCUAGUCACAUUUCUGGAUCUUUUGGCUAACAUUUAUGGAGCAUUCAUUAGGUCCAGCAGGGUUGUAAGUACCAAUGCAUGAAUUAAGUCAUUCUAAUUCCCCUUUCCAAUGUAUAAAAUAACUACUCUAAGUAUCUCAAUUUUGCAGAUAGAAAAAAUAUGAUAUGCAAAGGCAUUGAAUAACUACCCUAAGGUCACAUAACCAGUGAGUGGAGCAGCUAUUCAAAGGUAAAUGAUUUCUGGAAGAAGACACAAAAAAGAGUCUGUUGUACUUGAGUUAAGACACAGGGAUGGUUUAUCUGAAAGGAAGUUAAUCCCACCAGGUAAAUAAAUUUGCCUUAACUGCUUAGGACACAGAACAAUUUUGAUGUUCUGUUGGUUGGUGACCUAAUGGAGGAUUUCCCCAAUUUCAUGCCACUAAUAGCCCUCUCUAAGGCCUCAAGAGCCUAGUCCAGUAUACAGAGGUUACAAGUUGAAGGUUUAGGGUUUCCACAUAUGCAAAUAAGAAGAGUAAGGUACCUCCAGGGACUGUCCAUGACUUUCUGGAUUGUGAAUCUUGUAUUUCCUAUGAGGACUUCCAUGUUGGAUCACCUUUAAAAUCCAUGUUGGAUCUUGCCUCACUCAGAUUUAACACGAUUAUGCUUAAUAGAUUUCAACUACUGAAAUAAACAACUUUUGUGUAAGUGGGCUUGAGAAUAUUAGCUUCAUUUUGUAUAUCUGAAUGUUCAUUUUUAGCUAUUAAAAACUGACCUAAGUAGGAUUCUACAGAAACGUUUUCCUUCAAAAAGGUGGUAGCAGCAUCCUUUUUCUGAAUUUUAAAGAAGAAAGAUAAAUUUUCAUCUCGUAUCCUUGGGUCCUUUGAACAAAUAUACAAAAUUUUUUUCCUAUGCAAAUAAUAGAAACAAAUGCUGAUUACCUUAAAUGGGAAAGAAAUUUAUUGGAAGGAUAUGAAGGAACAGAAUUAACAGGGGGACUGAUGAUGGUGCAGCUGCCAUGACCUCCACCUAAGAUCCUAUUGUCAGGGCUAGAAUCAAUGCUAAAACUCCCCCUCCUAAAGCUACAGCUCUCCUGGGGUUCUGGUAACCACUCAGUGCCUCUGUCCUUUCAUGUGUGAGGACAGUAGAGGCUAUUAACUGUCACAAGAGUUACAGAUGUUUUACCAUCUCCUGUUGGUUUCUCUUAACCCAAAACUCUUCAUAAAGACAUUCUUUUUCUCUUUCUGACUUACCGUAUGUCAUCUGUUUGUUGCAGGAACCAUGACUUUAUAGGAUACAACGGAUACAAGACAGUCAGUCCUUGAUCUCACUGUAGUUACAGUUUCAUAACACUAAUGAAUUUUGCGUGUAGGUCCUGUAAAACUCUCUCACACUGAAAAGUGGCAGGUUGGAUAAACAGUAUAUGUUUUACAUCAGAGUUUCAAUUCUGAAUUCUGAAAAAGGCUACUUCUAUACUCAGAUUCUCUGGAAAAUUUCCAACACACAUUCAUCAGUGUACUCUUUCCCCUAAAAUACUUACUUGAAAUUCUUUGUGUCUCCCCCCUACACCCCCACCCCAUUACCUGGUAUCCUUUACUACACAAUUAAGCACUUGUUAGGAUAUUCAACCUAGAAUACCAUCACAUGGAGAGAUGAAUGUAAGCCAGCACAAGAGAGUAAUGAUGUGUGUUUGGAAUGAGGAUCUGCAUUAGCCUGACCAUCUUCUCUGACCCAGUCUGUAUCAGAUCAUAGGAUGAGGUUAGAAUGCACACUGCCAGGAUGUGGUAAACCACAUGCUAGAAGGGUAAUAAAAGGGAAGACACAGAGGAAAGGAGAUGUCAGCAGUCAUAGAGCAAAUACUGUCAACUUAGAUAAGGGAGGCAGCAGUCAAGUCAAAGUAGGUCAAUGAUUUCCGGUUCUAAGCAGCCAACAGUUUGAGGAGAGUCUGUCUGAGAACUAAAACAGCAGAGAUGGUGUCGGCAUCAAUAACAAAUAGUCUCACCUAAAAAAAUCUGCACAAAAAGCAGGGGUACAACAUGAUCCAAAGCUUGCAGAAAUAAGGAGAAAAGGCAGAAUGGUGCCAGAUUAGUGGUGCACAAGGUAAUAAUUCCCUUACCCCUUGGAAUAAGUACACUAGGAAACUGGAGAAACAUAGCAACCAAAACAAGGACUCUGGUACUCACAGGUGGGGGCUGACAUGAAAGAGCAAGGUGAGCUAUCAGGAAAAUAUUGGAAAACUCUGGAGACUCAUUCAGGACUUCAGCUUUUGAACAGGUAACAGUUCAACCCUUCAAAAUAUAGUAGGGUGGAAAAUAAUGAUAUGUGACACAGCAAAGAUCUGUUGGUUCUGUUGAUAAUCAAGUCUACUUUCAAGUUUCUUAGUAGUCAUUGCUAAUAGCUGGAACAAUGCUGGGAAGCGCUGAUACUCUAAGUGCCCAGUUUUUUCUCAUCUCCUCCCACCCCAGGAAGCUAGAUUAAAUUGAGCUGAAUUUUGCACCCUGCCUUAUGUUUGAGAAUAAGCGAUUGCUCCAAAUUUCAACUUAUGAGAUAUGUCUUAUACAUUUUAAAGAGACUUGGAUAAUUCCUGCAGAAAAUUAUCCAGGAUUUUCAUAUAUCCAUGUGGUUUCUUGUGCCAAUCAUUAGUCCACAGUUGGUAAAAGAGAUUAUAUGAAAAGAGAUAGAUAUAUAGAUAGAGAAAUGAAUGAAUAAAGUUGCAUGAUCAAGUAAACUAAGGAAAAUCUGAAGUAUAUGUAACAGGUAUUUUUAUCAUUAGAAGAGGAAUUUUCAAUCUACCAAAAUGUAUUAUCAUUUUCUAAAAUGAGUUCUAGUAAAUGUGGUUCCCUAAUGGUAUUUUAGGUAGGCUAUGUGUGUAUUCUUGGCCAUGCCCUCAGCAUGCAGAAGUUCCUGGGCCAGGGACUGAACCCGUACCAUAGCAGUGACCCAAGCCUGCCUUAGCAGUGACCAUGCCAGACCCUUAGCACCAGGCCACCAGGGAUCUCCCUGUUUUUAAUAGAGUGGCAUUACUUGAAAUCAGGAUUCCAUGGGUUUCUGAAAAGGAUGUUUUGAAUAUACUAAAUAUUUUAAAGCAAUCUUGAGUAUAAUAGCCUUAUUAUGCAUACUGAACUGCCAAAAGACCUGUAGAUCUCAAUAAAAAUUCUGACACAACCAGAAAUUCCCAUACAAUGUAAGUACUGGUAAAGGUCACACAACUUCUCCUGAAGUAUGUCCAAGGACAGUAAAUUCUCCACCCAAUGAGGCAUCUUUUCUUACUCUCAAGCGGCUCUAUAUUUUAUAAAUGUUUUUCUUAUACUGAGCUCUACUGUGGAAUUUUAUAAAUUCUACCACUGGUUUUAGCUAUGUCCUCAGAGGAAAACAAAAAUAAUUUGCUCAAACUAUUCCUCUAUGAUAUGCUUUCUAGGCUUCCUCACAAAUGUUAUCAACCUAGAAUCACUCUAGUUUCCCUCUAAUUCUUUAAAAUGCUGUGCUCAGAACUGCACUAAGUAUUCUGGGUGUGGCUGAAUCAAUACAGAGAAGGAGACUGCAAUCUGUAACUUCCCAAGUCAUGCAAAAUCUCUUCUUGCCUUUCAGGGCCACACCCACAGCCUAAAGAAGCUCCCAGGAGAGGGGUCUUAUCAGAGCUAGAGUUGCUGGCCCUACGCCACAGCCAUAGCUACAUGGGAUCUGAGCCACAUCUGUGACAGACACCACAGCUCAAGGCUAUGCCAGAUCCUUAACCCACUGAACGAGGGCAGGGAUCGAACCCACAUCCUCAUGGAUCCUAGUUGGGUUCGUUUCCACUGAGCCAUGACAGGAACCCCCCAAACUCUUUUCUUUUUAAUAAUGCCAGAAAUUUGCAGUCACAUCACACUAUGGAUUCAUAUAAAGCCUGAGAUCAACGCAAUGCCCCUCAAACAUUUUUAUGUGAACUACUGCCACAGCAUGUCUUCUCUUUCCUAUACUUAAGCAAUUGAUUUUUGAAAUCUAAAUGCCUAUCUCUAGGGUUAUGCGCAGUUGUAUAUAGAAACAACCUACUUUCUUCUUUUGGUGAAUGAAUGCAAUUAUGCCCUCAAAAGAGCCCAAGGUAACAAUAGUGGCAAUGAACACAAUGAUCAAAAAUGGUUAAGUUGCAAUUGUAUGGCCUCUUAGCGCUUAAAGAGUAUUUAAGGUAUGUUAUUUCCCCUUCCCUCUAUAAUCUAGAUAGAAGUAGUAGAUAUUAUCAGCAUCGACUUAAGGAUAGAGCAAUUGAGGCAUUAGAGAUACGGGUUUAUGUUACUCAUAUGCCUAGUAAGUAAAACAAAACACCUGGAACUCUUGUUUUUUUGCCCACUAAACCAAACUUCUUUCCUAUACCAAAUACUUUGUAGUAGAAUAUAUAAGCCAAGAUCUAUAAGAAUAUGUGUGUAUGUUAUACAUACUCCAUUUAGCAGUGCCUGUGGGCCAAGGAACUGGCUUUUCUCUAUUCUGCAGCCUUCACUAAUUCACCAUGCGAUUAACCAAAGCUAGAGACACAUGCUCAGAAGUGGGGAUUGCUCAGUUGCAAACUCUUCUGUUCUCAGAUUCUACUUUGUUUCUUUUGAGAUUUUUUUUUAAAUGUAAUUUCCUAUCUGUAAACAUAGACAUUUAGUCAUUAACAUGAAUGCUAGUUGUUCUACUUUAGCAAUGAUUAUUUAUGAGUAAAAAUGUCAUUUCUAUGUUAAAAAUCCAAGAAAAAAAAAGCACCCUCUAUUCAUUAUCCCUUUCACUCAGCUUGACAGUUUUCAAGAAUUUGGGAAAUGAAAGCUGGAAAAUAUCUGCAUAUUUGUCUCAAGUCCAUGUCUCAGAAUUAGGGUAGCCUUUUUAUUUUCCUACAGCUUUUUGAAGAACAGCAUGGGAAUAAAUGCAUAUCUUUUAUUUAUUUAUUUAUUUUUUAUUUUUAUUUUUAUUUAUUUUUUGCCUUUUUCUAAGGCCACUCCCGCAGCAUAUGGAGGUUCCCAGACUGGGGUCUAAUGAGAGCUGUAGCCACUGGUCUACACCAGAACCACAGCAACGUGGGAUCCGAGCCGCGUCUGUGACUUACACCACAGCUCACAGCAAUGCCGGAUCAUUAACCCACUGAGCAAGCCCAGGGAUCGAACCCGCAAC